GACAGAGGGUGCGACCGUUGCUCGGAAUUACUGGGCGUAAAGCGCGUGUAGGCGGACGCGCAAGUCAGGUGUGAAAUCCCUGGGCUCAACCCAGGAACUGCAUCUGAAACUGCAUGUCUGGAGUGUCGGAGAGGGAAGCGGAAUUCCUGGUGUAGAGGUGAAAUUCGUAGGUAUCAGGAGGAACACCGGUGGCGAAGGCGGCUUCCUGGACGAUUACUGACGCUGAGACGCGAAAGCGUGGGGAGCAAACAGG
rnacentral:rRNA from 1 species